rnacentral:rRNA from 1 species
CGCUGGCGGCGUGCUUAACACAUGCAAGUCGAACGAUGAUGCCCAGCUUGCUGGGUUGAUUAGUGGCGAACGGGUGAGUAACACGUGAGUAACCUGCCCCUGACUCUGGGAUAAGCGUUGGAAACGACGUCUAAUACUGGAUAUGAUCGCCGGCCGCAUGGUCUGGUGGUGGAAAGAUUUUUUGGUUGGGGAUGGACUCGCGGCCUAUCAGCUUGUUGGUGAGGUAAUGGCUCACCAAGGCGACGACGGGUAGCCGGCCUGAGAGGGUGACCGGCCACACUGGGACUGAGACACGGCCCAGACUCCUACGGGAGGCAGCAGUGGGGAAUAUUGCACAAUGGGCGAAAGCCUGAUGCAGCAACGCCGCGUGAGGGAUGACGGCCUUCGGGUUGUAAACCUCUUUUAGUAGGGAAGAAGCGAAAGUGACGGUACCUGCAGAAAAAGCACCGGCUAACUACGUGCCAGCAGCCGCGGUAAUACGUAGGGUGCAAGCGUUGUCCGGAAUUAUUGGGCGUAAAGAGCUCGUAGGCGGUUUGUCGCGUCUGCUGUGAAAUCCCGAGGCUCAACCUCGGGCUUGCAGUGGGUACGGGCAGACUAGAGUGCGGUAGGGGAGAUUGGAAUUCCUGGUGUAGCGGUGGAAUGCGCAGAUAUCAGGAGGAACACCGAUGGCGAAGGCAGAUCUCUGGGCCGUAACUGACGCUGAGGAGCGAAAGCAUGGGGAGCGAACAGGAUUAGAUACCCUGGUAGUCCAUGCCGUAAACGUUGGGCGCUAGAUGUAGGGACCUUUCCACGGUUUCUGUGUCGUAGCUAACGCAUUAAGCGCCCCGCCUGGGGAGUACGGCCGCAAGGCUAAAACUCAAAGGAAUUGA